GAAAACUCUUCGCGCGUCUCUGCCAUAGCUGCAAUUCUGACAAUCAGCUGCAUCAACUUUAACGCGUUGGCGCCUGAACUCGCGUGUUUCUCAAGUCGUUCCGUGAACGGGACGGGGACGUAAUUCGGAGUGACUCGAGUUAACUUAGCUGUGUUUCUGUCCAGACGCACAGAGGAGCGUGCGAGUGAGCUCUGAAGCGAAGGCAGCGAGCCGCAGCAACACCUCCAGAAGCUGCGCGCUGCCGCCGCGGCGCUCCGUCUCUCGCUUGUUUUAACGGACGUGCGUAAGUGAAGAACGCGGCUCCUGGGGUUCUGUGACAGUCCACGAGUACGCAGAGGACAAGCAAAAUCCCCCCAAUAAAGACAAGAAUGCUAGGAUGAAGACACUGCAGAGGAAGCUGGACACAAGUACUCAUUUUGCGACAACAGUGAGGAGAAGCUAAUGUAUUUGACUCUGGGAACCUGAACCGAAGCUUUUAGAAUCCCUGCGCAUCAGCAUACAUCUUUAUAACUGCCAACUGCUGGUCGGAUAUCCAGCGUAAUGUACAGGAGUAAUAGGAUUUUUCCCUGUUUGGCUUUGAUGUGGAGGAUACAGCUGUAAUGUUUGGACUUUCCACUGCCAGCGGAGACAUUAGACACAGCCAAGUUUCAAUAGAAACUUCAAUUUAGAAGAAUUCCGUGGACGGUUAAAUAUAAGGUAGACAGCAAGGGAACCAUUGUGUCUGUAUAGGGCAUAAUCUUUGUCCUACAUACAGCCGCCCGCUGAGCCUUAUUGAAAAGGAGGAGCCCAUUAAAGCAGUUGGUAGAUAGGAAGGUUUGAAGGUCCAAAGGUGUUGUUGCUGCCUGUCUGCCACUUGGAGAUGAGAUAAGAGCAGAGGGAAGAGAAAAGGGAAGUGCCUGUCUGACAGGAGCCGAAUACAGAUUAGGAUUUUCUCUCCAGCAGCUUCACCAGUGAGGCGAAUCAAUAGAAGAAGCAGAAUGGACAAGGUAGUCAGCUUCAAUUACAGGUGCAUUAGAUGUAAACCCAAAUGAUGAAAUUACACACUUGAAAAGGAAUGAUGUGAAAUCAUACCGCAGUACCAGGGACGGAGAAAGUCUGCAGCCAACACCAACAGUGUAAUAAUUCCUCUGUA
rnacentral:lncRNA from 1 species